rnacentral:lncRNA from 1 species
CAAAACACACAUACACACACACAAGCGCUCAUACAUGCACACGUGUGCUCGCGUGCGAUUGCUUAAGUGCCUGUUAACUUUCUGACAGCCAAUGAAAGAACUGGAAAACUAGAAAGGGGCGGGGAGACUGACGGCGCCGGACACUCUCCUCACCACCUCCCAGGCCCGCUAGCCAAUGAGCUGCUGAGGCGACUGACAGCAACCAUAGGAACGAGCGCGGGGAGGAAAGAACGCCAGGUGAUCUGUCAGAAGGGCAGCGUCACGGUCCAGUCCGGAUUGCUGACCACUUGUUCCCCCUUUCCCAGCAACAUUUGACUGCCAAUUUCAUGCUGUUUACCCCAGGUACAAAUAUUAAACAUUAUGAUUCUACAAGGAAGAAAUAUGGUCCAUGGCUCCCAGGGACUCCC